GAUGAACGCUAGCUACAGGCUUAACACAUGGCAAGUCGAGGGGAACGACAUCGGAAGCUUGCUUUUGAUGGGCGUCGACCGGCGCACGGGUGAGUAACGCGUAUCCAACCUGCCCACCACUUGGGGAUAACCUUGCGAAAGUAAGACUAAUACCCAAUGACGUCUCUAGAAGACAUCUGAAAGAGAUUAAAGAUUUAUCGGUGAAAGAUGGCCUCGCGUCUGAUUAGCUUGUUGGCGGGGUAACGGCCCACCAAGGCGACGAUCAGUAGGGGUUCUGAGAGGAAGGUCCCCCACAUUGGAACUGAGACACGGUCCAAACUCCUACGGGAGGCAGCAGUGAGGAAUAUUGGUCAAUGGACGGGAGUCUGAACCAGCCAAGUAGCGUGCAGGAUGACGGCCCUAUGGGUUGUAAACUGCUUUUAUAGGGGGAUAAAGUGUGCCACGUGUGGUAUAUUGCAGGUACCCUAUGAAUAAGGACCGGCUAAUUCCGUG
rnacentral:rRNA from 1 species